GAUGAAGAACGUAGCGAAAUGCGAUACGUAAUGUGAAUUGCAAAUUCAGUGAAUCAUCGAGUCUUGGAACGCACAUUGCGCCCCCUGGUAUUCCGGGGGGCAUGCCUGUCCGAGCGUCAUUGCUGCCCUCAAGCACGGCUUGUGUGUUGGGCCCCGUCCUCCGAUCCCGGGGGACGGGCCCGAAAGGCAGCGGCGGCACCGCGUCCGGUCCUCGAGCGUAUGGGGCUUUGUCACCCGCUCUGUAGGCCCGGCCGGCGCUUGCCGAUCAACCCAAAUUUUUAUCCAGGUUGACCUCGGAUCAGGUAGGGAUACCCGCUGAACUUAAGCAUAUCAAUAAGCGGAGGA
rnacentral:misc_RNA from 1 species